UAACCGUAGGUGAACCUGCGGUUGGAUCAUUAACAAAUAACUUUAGGCCCCUCCGGCUGUCCCAACGGGGCGAAGGGGGGAACACCUAAACAUUUGUGUGCACCAUAUCUGUUUUUGGCAGUUCGAGUGUCCUGGGUUUGCGUAACUGCCUCAGGUACCUACCUGGGCAAGCCUCCGGGUUUGCCUCGGGUUGGGCUGCCGCCCUUUUGAACAUUUGCUUUUUUUUUGAUGCCUGAAAUUGUUUGAUCUUCGCAGAUUAAAUUUAAAUACAACUUUUGACAACGGAUCUCUUGGCUCUC
rnacentral:misc_RNA from 1 species